rnacentral:lncRNA from 1 species
AGUUGACUUGAGAGCUCACUCAGCAGCACCACCACACUCAGAAAGUAACUGCUGAGAGUCCUCCUAGAGAUGAUCUGGGAACCCAGUCACUCAUUUAGUCUGUCUGCCUUUCCUGAGGACACAUCUUCCUUCUUCAGUACUCUGUUUCAUCUAGGACUGAUAGAUGAUCCAGAGUUGCUGCCCCUUAUUUUGAGCCAGCUUGCUUCAGUGUAUCUGGUCACCAUCCUGGGAAACCUGCUUAUCAUCCUGGCUGUUAGCUCUGACUUGCAC